GGACGGUAAGCUAACCCGGUGGAAGCGCCAGACUGAAGAUCUGGAGGGACUGGUCCGACACCAGUACCGUCCA
rnacentral:tRNA from 1 species